rnacentral:rRNA from 1 species
UACGUAGGAGGCAAGCGUUUGUCCGGAAUUACUGGGCGUAAAGCGCGUGUAGGUGGUGGGACAAGUCUGCUGUGAAAGCGCCUGGCUUAACCGGGCGAGGUCGGCGGAAACUGUCCGACUCGAGGACGGUAGAGGGGGGUGGAAUUCCCGGUGUAGUGGUGAAAUGCGUAGAGAUCGGGAGGAACACCUGUGGCGAAGGCGGCCCCCUGGGCCGGCCCUGACACUGAGACGCGAAGGCGUGGGGGAGCGAACGGGG